GAAUAAAAAGCCUUACUAUGAGGUAUCAUAGAAGCGCGGUCUUAUACCAAAGCUUAAGAUGAAGAUCGAACGAUCCGUAUUCCUGUGUGCCUUUUUUGUAGUAGGGAUGCUAACUGUUGAGGGCGAGAGCUUUGGAAAUCUCAUACCGUAUGGAAAAAAGAUACUUUAUAAAAGAAAGCUUAAGAACUGUGCAGCUUCGUGUUGUGAGUGUGGAGGAAAACCAAGCAUAAAGUCCAAUGGUAAUCACGAUGAAGUUUGGACGAAGGACGACGCAGCGAAAAGGAUAACAUAGUUAACAUUUGAAUUAAAAUGAAAUUUUACUUAAGAUUCGACAGGCGGAGGAAACAACGAUAAUUGGUUAAACCUUUGGAGGGAUAGUAAUGAAAUACUGAAACUGAUCGAAAUUUGUAAGUUUUAUUAGAUCCUCAAAGUCGCCAUUAAAAGAAUCACACUAUAUCCUGU